UCCCAGCAGUCCAAGUCGCAGCCACAAUUAUUGGGUCUAAAACAUCCGUAGCUUGCUGUGCAAGUCUUUUGUCAAAUCGGGCCUCUUAAGGGUCCGGCGAGCAUAAGAUACUGCGCAGCUAGGGACCGGUAGACGUAAAGAGUACGAAUAGAGUAGCGGUAAAAUGUGUUGAUCCUAUUCGGACUAACGACAGCGAAGGCACUUUACGAGCACGGAUCCGACAGUGAGGGAUGAAGGCUAGGGGCGCAAAGUG
rnacentral:rRNA from 1 species